UGGCCGACAUGAGCCGCGCGUGUUUGUUAGGGCUCUUCGUGUCCGUUCCAUUUUCAAGAUUGAUCCUCUCGUAACUCAUCGACGCGUUGAUAUUCGAUUUAUUAAAACCAUUAUAUACACACAUAUAUAUAUAUAUAUAUAUAUGUAUAUAUAUAUAUAUAAUAUAUACAAUCUGUCCGAUCGAAACGAUUUAUUUUUCAUACGUAAUCAUUUCCAUGAUCGGAUAAUAAGAUCGAACUUUUGUUUUUUUUUUUUUUUUUUUUAACAAGUAUAUGUGAACAAAAAGCAAUUAGGAGAUACGAUAUUUUUCUUAUUUUGUUCGUUUCUUCAUUAUUUAAUCUCUUAAAUCGAGUGCGUAACGAAAUACGUGCAAAAAUGUAUUUGGACUAAACGGUGCCUUCGAAGUGAGAAAUAUUUUAGUGUUCCAUACACGACACAACUUUGUUUCCUUCAAUAUUCGUCUAUACUUUUUACUUUUACUUUUAUUAUUCGAUCGCUCUACUACCACUUCCGUCGGUGAAUACGAUCUAGUUUUUCUUUUCAAGGAUAAGUUAAAUAUCGUCGAAAAAAAGAAAGAAAAGAAAAAAGAAAACAGGUCGAAACACGACGCUGACAAGACAAGCACGGUGUAACGAACUGCUAGGAUGAUAACAGUGUAAGUGCGGUGGGGUUAAAGUGCCAGCCCGUUUAUGGAUAACUACGAUCGGUCGAUCGAAUUUACGAAUGCCAGAUCGAAGAGGACUAAGCGGGUACAGUGACGAGUGCCGUGACGUGUUCGUUUUACGUAUCGAUAUAUCACCGAUCGAUCGCGUUCAUUUUUACUCUUGGUGUUAAAUAAAAUGAACGAAUGACCUCGUCGGUGAUAUAUACGAAAUGAGGCCGAAAUCGUGCUCCCUGUUUCUCUUGUUUUGCGUUCUGUUGCCUGGCGUCGUGCGUCCCUUCACGUCCGGAGAAGAAGGCGAGGACGCGGCGGAGGAUGAGGAUUCAUAUCUCCUCGAGGAGGAUGACGUGCCUUCGGCUACCAUCGCCAGUGACACUGAACUGAUAUCGGAAGGUGGCGGACAUCUUCCGGUAUUUUUAACGGAACCGGUCGACUCCUUCGUCGUUAAGAACAAACCUGCCACUCUUCGUUGCAAAGCGGCACACGCAUUGCAAAUAUAUUUUCGUUGUAACAACGACAGAGCGGAUGAUUCGGUUCAACAAGACUUCGUUGAUCCUCAUACGGGAACUAGGAUCGUCGAUUGCGAGUUAAAUGUUACCAGGGACCACAUAGAGGAGUAUUUCGGAAAAGACAAGUUCAAGUGCGAGUGCAUCGCUUGGUCUGGUUCAGGACAGAUCAAGAGUCAACCAGCGGUGAUCGAUGUUGCUUAUCUGAAGAAGCAAUUCGAGUCACCGCCAUAUUCCGUUUCGGUCGAAGCUGGUCAUAGUACCGAACUUCGAUGUCUGGCACCUCUCGGUGUGCCACCUCCAAGAGUCUAUUGGCUGAGAAACAACGUUCCAGUUGAUGCUGACUCGGACACUCUUUUGGUAUCCAGCGAAGGACAUCUUCUUGUUGGCCAAGCAAAACUCAGCCAUCAGGCUAAUUAUACAUGUGUGGCUGAGAACAUCGCGGCAAAACGAUUAAGCGAUCCAGUUAGCCUAACAGUAUACCUGAACGGUGGUUGGUCUUCCUGGUCUGCCUGGUCGGAAUGUCAUUCGAGAUGCGCGAAAGGUGGCCAGAAAAGAACGAGAACGUGCACGAAUCCGGCACCUAUGAACGGUGGUCAACCUUGUCUCGGUCCAAGUCAGCAGAAAAUGGAUUGCAACACUGCCUGUCCUGCUGCUUAUGUCGGAACAGCGGGCGCAUUGGAGGAAUUCACCAAUACUAUGGUCGUCGACGGUGGAUGGUCCAGAUGGUCGGCGUGGUCCAUAUGCGGGAGCGACUGCACGCACACCAGAAGGAGAUCGUGCGACGAGCCGCCUCCGAGCCACGGUGGCCGUUCAUGUCAGGGCAAAGAUAUAAGCGUGGCCAAUUGCACCGGCGGCAUAUGCAAUGUUGGCAACGCGAAGAUGGGUGGCGCGCAUUUGACAGAAGAAGCGAAUCGUCAGAUGGACGUGGCUCUUUAUAUCGGAUUAACCGUGGCUUGCGUCGUCAUCGGUGGAUUAGCAUUUUUCUUGGCAAGACUAUUACGAAGAAAAGGUCGAGAUCAUUCUCUCUACUCCAUGGCACGCAAUGAAUUCCAGCCGGAGUUCUUCCCGGACCAGGACAAGAAGUUGAGCCUACAACCGGACGUGACGGCGACGAGCGUGCCGGCCUGUUACGAGUAUCCUUUCGACCCGAAGCUGUCGAUGUCGAGAUCCCUCUCGGAGCACCAUUACGACGUGCCGCACCUAUCGAUCGCCCCCCAACCAUCCCCGAUGUCACCAACUCCUUCGACAUCGACGCAAGAGUCUUGCAGCGACAAGCAGAUUCAUUCCGACAGCGAGAACAGCGUCACUAGUUCAUAUCCAUCCUCGGACUCUACUUACAACGUUGCCUCCGAAAGCGUCAGGUUACCCAAGCUCGAAGCUGGAAACGUAGCGAGAGCUGCUGUCAACACUCGAGGUGCAUUAUUGGUCCUUCCGGAUUCUGGAAUUUCAAUGUCGGUACCCGAAGGAGCAGUACCAAAGCCACUCAGAGAGGAACUCUAUUUGGCGGUUCUCAACGAGGAUCGCUUUAGGCCUAGAUUACCUGACGGAAUAACGCAGCUAUCAGCGGUGGUGACCUGUGGCCCAUCUAGGGCGUCCUUCAAUAAACCUGUGAUCCUACAAUUCGAACACUGCGCAAUGUUGCAUCCCGCGACCUGGGAGCUGAGCGUAUGGGCCUCGGACAAUCUGAACGUCGAGGAGAGCUCGUCGAUGUCGUCGACGAAGGAUCAUCAGGUGGUGACGUGGAGCAGAGUGUUGACAUUGGGCAACGAAACGAUCAACACGCCGCUCUUUACGCAGCUCGAUCACGCGGAAGCGUUUAUCGUGACGGAGCAACUCAGAGGUUACGUUCUCGCAGGUCAGAGUUGCGAGAACUCGAUAGCCACUAAGAGACUGAGAUUAGCAUUGUUCGCUAGCCAAGCUGGCCAGUGUUGCGUCAGGGUCUACGCCGUUGAGGACACGAAGGCUGCUACAAAGGCGAUCGUCGACAGGGAGUCGCAAAUCAGAGGUUACUUGUUGGACAAGCCACGUACGCUCAUGUUCCAAGACAACGGGGAUCCUCUUUGCGUUAGUCUCGAGGAAGUCGGGAACGAAUGGCAGAGCAAAUCGCCAACCGAGCGUCAAGAGCUCUCCUUCAGAGACGUUUGGAAUUGUCAGGAGAACACGAAACACGUGACCUUCGGUUUAGACACAGCCUUUGGCCCGACGACAACCAGAAGCUACAAGCUACAGGUCUCGCAAGGCAAUUCCGACACCAGGCAAGUCUUCAGGAUCGUUUACGACGGCGCGAAGCAACUGAUCUCAUCCGGCAGCGUUACCAGACCUCUCAGGGAAGUGACCGUCGUCAGCAGUGGACAUGCUAAUAACGCAACCACGGAUUCAACCGCCCUCAGACCGUUUCGGUUCACCAGGUCUCUCAGGAAACAACUCUGCCAGUGCCUCGACCCUCCUAACGCUUUGGGCAACGACUGGAGAAUGUUGGCUCAGAGACUACAGGUUGACAGGUACAUAAACUACUUUGCAACUAAGUCGAGCCCAACGGAACACAUUCUCGAUUUAUGGGAGGCAAGGCAUAGAGAACCAACGGCUGUCACGGAUCUCCUGAAUCAUUUGAGAGUGAUGGGAAGGACCGAUGCUGCUACGAUUUUGGAAGCACAGCUUGGACCCUGGCUUUGAACGCGUUACCACAUCGAAUUGCUUUUACAAACGAAGUUACGUUCCCUUGGCCGAGAUGAUGCUCUGGAACAAGUUCGAGUGCCAAUUUCAUGGGACAUCUGUGGAAGCGGUCUGUUUUUCUUUAAGAGACACCCUACCGUUGGAACAGCUCCUUUCAAUACCUCCCUUUACGCUAAGGUAAACCUCUUCGUUCGACUGAAUCGAGGACUCCUGGGAAAGUAGAAACGACGUUCCGUAGAUCGAAUCGUGAAUGAGACUUCGUUAGCUCGACCUAGAUAAGCGAACGAUCUUACUAUCAACGAAGAUCUUUACAAUUAACUCGGGUAAUAGAAGAAACGUAUAAUCAUUUCGCUAUCGAACAUUGUACGUGACAGUUUUAAUUUCACGUUGAUUCGAUCGAAAAAAAAAAUAAAGAUUAUAUCUGUCCUUUUCCUUCUUUUUCUUUUUCUUUUUUCUAUCUUAAACAUUAAGAUCAAUAAAUUUCGAAUCAUUUAUGUCUCUCGUCGAGUAUAUCCAAAAGACAAAAACGAUAAAAUCGCGACGAUUCUCUGUCCUCUCUUAUUCUUCUCAUCGCGAUCGUAGAAAGUUACGAUUGGAAUAAAGUGGGACGAGUUCUGAAGAUGGGAUGGGGUAUAGUGGGUGAGGGAGAUCUUUUCCCUAUAUCGACAUUAAAUCGAGAUUACCGUCUUUCUCGAAUGCUCUUGGAGAAAUAAGAAGGAAAGAAGGAUAGAAAUAAAGGAAAUUCGUUUACUCGUGCUCCUCGAAAAGGCGAGUAUAAAUCUUUCGCGAGUCCUGGGGUACAGAAAGGAAGAGUAAGAGAAGAAAAAGAAGAAGACGAAGAAAAAGGAAGAAGAAAAUAAAGGGAUGAGGGAAGGGGAAGAUACAACAACGUGAGUCAUCCCCCCAAGAAACCCCCAUGAAACUUUCAGCGAGUUUUCUCCCUAGCGUCAUUCCUACCGGACUCUUUUCUCCCCGUUUUACCAUUAAACCGCGAUUCCAGAACGUCGAGUUUGCCUUUUCGACUAGGAAGUCUUUCUUAUAGGAGAACAAAAUACAAUCUUCGCGAUUCUUACGCGGUUAAUGGCACGUAGUCCAAGGGGUAGUCCUAUCUCUUCUGUUACGCGUGUAUGACGCACGAUAUAUAAUAGUUAUCGUUAUUCGCCUGAGUUACGCACCGUGUCUUUCUAUGAUAACUCUUCGUCAUUCUUCGGAUUAUUUCGGAAUACAAAGAUUUUACGUUUGAUCGUAAAAACGAUCGUACGAAGGAGUUUCUUAUUUUUUCUAAAUAAAAAGGAAUUGUUUACAAUCCCAUAAAAUAUCUACAAUUAUUAUACAUAUUAUAUUUACAUGUGCUUGUCUGUUGUUCGUCUGUGUAUGUGCGUAAAUAUUGUUUGUACAUAUAAAUAUGUAUAUAUAGUAUAUGUAAAUAUGAAAUUUCGAAAUGCAUUUUGUCGAAUACUAUUGACUCAAAAAUUGAAAAAAAUAUCAUCACUGUAAAUAGAAUUAAAAUGUCUAUCAAACGAUA